rnacentral:lncRNA from 1 species
CAGGAUGUAGAACAGGAUUCAAUAGGGAAGUUAAUCUCUGUGCAAAUAAUUUAAAAUCAAAUAGAUUUUCUUCUUAGCCUAAGUCAAUACUUUAAAAAUGAUGCCCUACUUUAUAUUUACUGCUGAGGCUAAACACCUUAAAAUUACUAGUAUAAAGCACCAGCCCUGAAGUCAGGAGAACCCGAGUUCAAAUGUGCCCUCAGACACUUAACACUUCCUAGCUGUGUGACCCUAGGCAAGUCAUUUAACCCCAAUUGCCUCAGCAAAAACAAAACAAAACAAAACAAAAAAACCCCAAAAACUACUAAUAUAAAAUUUUUGAGUCAAAGAGCCUGUCAGAAUGUUGAGAAAAGAAGCUAUUAAAAAAAAUAAUAAUAAGAUAACCAUUAAGGACUCCAAAAAUUCAAAAUUGGAAGUUUCCAUUCUCUUUAAUAGAAAGCAUUAGAGCAUCAUCUUAUUUCAGCCUUUUUUUCAAUUUGCAAGCUAUGGUUGACAAAGUACUUCCCAUAUCUGAAAAAUCUAGAUGAGUAUGUAGUUACACUUCAAGAAUGCUGUCAUUUUUAGACAAUAAGCAGUAUGCUGAAUAAAAAAAAAAUUCAAUAAUUUUGCACUGUCUUCACAUUUAUUAUCUGUUCUGUCACUUAAAAUUUGCUGCAGCUCAAUCAGCAGUGAAAAGGUAUAAGGUGAGUAAGAAAAAUAAUUCAUUAAAAAAUAUGUCCACAAAUACUGUGCACACUAGUAUAUAAUGAAUCAACUCAUAAAAUGAUCAGAAUUUUUCUAAAUAAAACUCAAAUUUUGAUCUCCAGUUGCUAGAGUAGAAAUUUAUUUCAGAGAUUAACAGAGCCCUAUUCCCUCCUUUAGGUGCUUGAACCGUACUCAGCCUAUGGGACAAUGACACUCAACAUAAACACACUCUCUAAUACACAAUAGUGAAAAAUGGCAAAAAGGACAAAAGAGACACACAAGAGAAUUUCUGACAAUUUCUUCUGAUUGCUUAAAAACAUUUGGGAUACAUGUCU